GACAGAGGGUGCAAACGUUGCUCGGAAUUACUGGGCGUAAAGCGCGUGUAGGCGGACCUGCAAGUCGGACGUGAAAGCCCUGGGCUCAACCCAGGAACUGCAUCCGAAACUGCGGGCCUGGAGUGGUGGAGAGGGAAGCAGAAUUCCUGGUGUAGAGGUGAAAUUCGUAGAUAUCAGGAGGAACACCGGUGGCGAAGGCGGCUUCCUGGCCUGUUCUUGACGCUGAGGCGCGAAAGCUAGGGUAGCAAACGGG
rnacentral:rRNA from 1 species